CUGCAAUGAGCACAUGCUACAGUAACCCUCAAGUGCAGCGGACAGCAAGCACCGUCUAGCAGACUCCUGCUGAACACCGCAAGGCUUCCGCCAGAUCUACAGUAAGGAAAGCGGUCAUGUCACCUUUGUUAUUAACCUGAUUCUACUAAACUGGACUGCUGGUGUGUCUGUGAAGCGUUUGUGAGUGGACAGAGCUGCUGCCUGCUGACCUGUGAACUGAACUGCCAAUUUCCAGACAACACAGAUGGGAGUUGCUCCAAAGAACCUUUCUAAAAAGGUCCACUUCCCCAUAUCCUUUCUUUCCCACUACCUCUUGUGGGUGGUGGGCUACAAGGGAGGUUAAAGUGUUUAAAAAUCAUUAAAAAUAAGGUUUGAAAAAAAAUUAAAGUUACACUAUGAUUUCUCUGUACUCUACUCGAAAAAAAUCUUUUUUUUUUCUUCUUUUUUCUUUUCUUCGGAGCUGGGGACCGAACCCAGGGCCUUGCGUUUGCUAGGCAAGCGCCCUACCACUGAGCUAAAUCCCCAACCCUGAAAAAAAUCUUUUAAGACUAUUGUGUAAACAGCCUUUAUCUCAGGAUUUGUAAAUUCAUUGGAAAUAGUUUUUAAAAAUCUAUAAAAUCUGUAGCAAAUUUAGCUUAAACCUUGUAAGAAAAGGCUUAUAGUUAAAAACCUAUACAUGGGUAAUUUUAAUUUGCUACAACAUACUAUAUAUAUGUGACACAACUUUUGUUCAGGAUACAGUGUAAAUAAAAAUUGAAUUCAACUCUUGUUUAAACUGAGUCAU